rnacentral:rRNA from 1 species
GACGAACGCUGGCGGCGUGCUUAACACAUGCCAGUCGAACGCUGAAGCUCAGCUUUUGUUGGGUGGAUGAGUGGCGAACGGGUGAGUAACACGUGAGUAACCUGCCCCCUUCUUUGGGAUAACGCCCGGAAACGGGUGCUAAUACUGGAUAUUCACUGGUCUUCGCAUGGGGGUUGGUGGAAAGGGUUUUUCUGGUGGGGGAUGGGCUCGCGGCCUAUCAGCUUGUUGGUGGGGUGAUGGCCUACCAAGGCUUUGACGGGUAGCCGGCCUGAGAGGGUGACCGGUCACAGUGGGACUGAGAUACGGCCCAGACUCCUACGGGAGGCAGCAGUGGGGAAUAUUGCACAAUGGGCGCAAGCCUGAUGCAGCGACGCCGCGUGAGGAUGGAGGCCUCCGGGUUGUGAACCUCUUUCGCUCAUGGUCAAGCCGCAACAAUGGUUGUGGUGAGGGUAGUGGGGAAAGAAGCGCCGGCUAACUACGG